UGGGGAAUAUUGGACAAUGGGGGCAACCCUGAUCCAGCAAUGCCGCGUGUGUGAAGAAGGUCUUCGGAUUGUAAAGCACUUUCGACGGGGACGAUGAUGACGGUACCCGUAGAAGAAGCCCCGGCUAACUUCGUGCCAGCAGCCGCGGUAAUACGAAGGGGGCUAGCGUUGCUCGGAAUGACUGGGCGUAAAGGGCGUGUAGGCGGUUUACACAGUCAGAUGUGAAAUCCCCGGGCUUAACCUGGGAGCUGCAUUUGAUACGUGUAGACUAGAGUGUGAGAGAGGGUUGUGGAAUUCCCAGUGUAGAGGUGAAAUUCGUAGAUAUUGGGAAGAACACCGGUGGCGAAGGCGGCAACCUGGCUCAUGACUGACGCUGAGGCGCGAAAAGCGUGGGGAGCAAACAGGAUUAGAUACCCUGGUAGUCCACGCUGUAAACGAUGUGUGCUAGAUGUUGGGUAACUUUGUUAUUC
rnacentral:rRNA from 1 species